CCCUUCUUGAGACAUCAACAAGGAAAAGUAGCUUCCAUAUGAGGAGGUGUGAACAAGUUAGGACAUAAAUCAUGGUCCCAAUACGGAGAACCAUUGCAUCUAAUAGAGAGCCAAAUACUAGAGUCUGUGAACAUUGCUCCAAAGUCAGGAUUUUUUUGGCUGAUUUAAUAUGCAUACAAAAGUAAACAUUGACAGUCGUUGCCACAUUUUUCGGAGGUCUCAAGAAGGUAACAGAUAUAAGGGUGUGUGUGUGUGUGUGUGUGUGUGUGUGUGUGUGUGUGUGUGUGUGUGUGUGUGUGUUCUUGUAUUUCUACCCUUCUUGAGACGUCAACAAGGAAAAGUACCGUCUAUAUGAGGAGGUGUGAACAAGUUAGGACAUAAAUCAUGGUCCCAAUACAAAAAACCAUUGCAUCUAAUAGAGAGCCAAAUACUAGAGUCCGUGAACAUUGCUCCAAAGUCAGGAUUUUUUUUGGCUGAUUUAAUGUGCAUACAAAAGUAAACAUUGACAGUAGUCGCCGCAUUUUUCGGAGGUCUCAAGAAGGUAACAGAUAUAAGGGUGUGUGUGUGUGCGUGUGUGUGUGUGUGUGUGUGUGUGUGUGUGUGUGUGUGUGUGUGUGUGUGUGUGUGUGUGUGUUCUUGUAUUUCUACCCUUAUUGAGACAUCAACAAGGAAAAGUACUGUCCAUAAGGACAUAAAUCAUGGUCCCAAUACGGAAAACCAUUGCAUCUAAUAGAGAGCCAAAUACUAGAGUCCGUGAACAUUGCUCCAAAGUCAGGAUUUUUUUGGCUGAUUUAAUGUGCAUACAAAAGUAAACAUUGACAGUAGUUGCCACAUUUUUGGAGGUCUCAAGAAGGUAACAGAUAUAACAGUGUGUGUGUGUGUGUGUGUGUGUGUGUGUGUGUGUGUGUGUGUGUGUGUGUGUGUGUGUGUGUGUGUGUGUGUGUGUGUGUGUGUGUGUGUGUGUGUGUGUGUAUGUGUUCUUGUAUUUCUACCCUUCUUGAGACAUGAUGAAGGGAAAGUAUCUUCCAUAUGAGGUGUGAACAAGUUAGGACAUAAAUCAUGGUCCCAAUAACAUUGCAUCUAAUAGAGAGCCAAAUACUAGAGUCCGUGAACAUUGCUCCAAAGUCAGGAUUUUUUUUCUGAUUUAAUGUGCAUACAAAAGUAAACAUUGACAGUAGUUGCCACAUUUUUGGAGGUCUCAAGAAGGUAACAGAUAUAACAGUGUGUGUGUGUGUGUGUGUGUGUGUGUGUGUGUGUGUGUGUGUGUGUGUGUGUGUGUGUGUGUGUGUGUGUGUGUGUGUGUGUG